rnacentral:rRNA from 1 species
AUCCUGGCUCAGAUUGAACGCUGGCGGCAUGCUUUACACAUGCAAGUCGAACGGUAACGAGGGAGCUUGCUCCGCUGACGAGUGGCGGAACGGGUGAGUAAUGCAUCGGAACAUGCCCAGUCAGUGGGGAUAACUACGCGAAAGCGUAGCUAAUACCGCAUACGCCCUGAGGGGAAAGUGGGGGAUCUUAGGACCUCACGUGAUUGGAGUGGCCGAUGUCAGAUUAGCUAGUUGGUGAGGUAAAGGCUCACCAAGGCGACGAUCUGUAGCGGGUCUGAGAGGAUGAUCCGCCACACUGGAACUGAGACACGGUCCAGACUCCUACGGGAGGCAGCAGUGAGGAAUAUUGGACAAUGGGCGAGGGCCUGAUCCAGCCAUGCCGCGUGCAGGAAGACCGGCCCUAUGGGUUGUAAACUGUCUUUUGGUACGGGAAGAAACCACCCCCUCGUGAGGGGGCUUGGCGGUACCGUAAGAAUAAGGAUCGGCUAACUCCGUG